GACGAACGCUGGCGGCGUGCUUAACACAUGCAAGUCGAACGGAGAAUUUUGCUUCGGUAGAAUUCUUAGUGGCGAACGGGUGAGUAACGCGUAGACAACCUACCUCUCAGAUGGGGACAACAUCGCGAAAGCGGUGCUAAUACCGAAUGAUGUAACUUUUCUGCAUGGAAGAGUUACCAAAGGCGGCCUCUAUUUAUAAGCUGUCACUGAGAGAUGGGUCUGCGUCUGAUUAGCUAGUUGGCGGGGUAAUGGCCCACCAAGGCGACGAUCAGUAGCCGGUCUGAGCGGAUGAACGGCCACAUUGGGACUGAGACACGGCCCAAACUCCUACGGGAGGCAGCAGUGGGGAAUCUUCCGCAAUGGACGAAAGUCUGACGGAGCAACGCCGCGUGAGUGAAGAAGGUUUUCGGAUCGUAAAGCUCUGUUGUUUGAGACGAACGUGCAAUUUUUGAAUAAGGAAUUGUAAUGACGGUAUUAAACGAGAAAGCCACGGCUAACUACGUGCCAGCCGCCGCCGUAAAAC
rnacentral:rRNA from 1 species